GGACAACAUUUGGAAACGAAUGCUAAUACCGCAUAACAACUUUAAACACAAGUUUUAAGUUUGAAAGAUGCAAUUGCAUCACUCAAAGAUGAUCCCGCGUUGUAUUAGCUAGUUGGUGAGGUAAAGGCUCACCAAGGCGAUGAUACAUAGCCGACCUGAGAGGGUGAUCGGCCACAUUGGGACUGAGACACGGCCCAAACUCCUACGGGAGGCAGCAGUAGGGAAUCUUCGGCAAUGGACGAAAGUCUGACCGAGCAACGCCGCGUGAGUGAAGAAGGUUUUCGGAUCGUAAAACUCUGUUGGUAGAGAAGAACGUUGGUGAGAGUGGAAAGCUCAUCAAGUGACGGUAACUACCCAGAAAGGGACGGCUAACUACGUGCCAGCAGCCGCGGUAAUACGUAGGUCCCGAGCGUUGUCCGGAUUUAUUGGGCGUAAAGCGAGCGCAGGUGGUUUAUUAAGUCUGGUGUAAAAGGCAGUGGCUCAACCAUUGUAUGCAUUGGAAACUGGUAGACUUGAGUGCAGGAGAGGAGAGUGGAAUUCCAUGUGUAGCGGUGAAAUGCGUAGAUAUAUGGAGGAACGCCGGUGGCGAAAGCGGCUCUCUGGCCUGUAACUGACACUGAGGCUCGAAAGCGUGGGGAGCAAACAGGAUUAGAUACCCUGGUAGUCCACGCCGUAAACGAUGAGUGCUAGAUGUAGGGAGCUAUAAGUUCUCUGUAUCGCAGCUAACGCAAUA
rnacentral:rRNA from 1 species